ACCCAAUUGACGAGUCCUGAAUAGAACGAAACGCGCGUUUUGUAU
rfam:Schistosoma curassoni strain Dakar, Senegal genome assembly, scaffold: SCTD_scaffold0001682